CGGGCCUGGGGCGGUGCCGCACUUGCACACGGAGUGUGGGGGGCCAGGCCUGGGACCAGGAGCUGGGGCCGGGCUUCGGCGCAGAGGCAGGAAGAGGAAGCGGCACCCGCUUCGGGGACCCAGCCGGCGGCCAGGCCACCGCGCCCACCCGGCCGAUGGCACCGUGUUCCUGCGCCUCGGGAGGGAGGAGGCUCUGCGCGGGACUGCAGGUUCUGCCCCGCAUCGGAGUGAUCGCUGAGCCUGACGCUCUCGAAGGCUGGGCCUGGGGCCCGCAAUCUACUCCGGAGGCUUUCCCACUGGGCAGGGUCGCUAGCAGGGUGAGAGAAAGCCCCGGGCCAUCCCCGAGUGCCGGGGCCACAGGAAGAAUUUGUGGCGACAUCAUCCCUUCCCCAGGUGCCACCCGGGUGCAGUGAGGACCUGGAGCCCCUGCCCCAGGCUGUGAGGAGACUUGACCAGAGCUGCCUGAAUGCUCCACGGAGCAGCAACAAAGCACCAUCUUGGAAGCAGAGAGCCACCCUCACCAGAACUGAAUGCAGGCACCGUGACCUUGAACUUCCCAGCCUCCAGAACUUGCUGCCAGGACCUGCAGAACUCCAGAUGGAUUCCCCUGGCUGACACUUGAAAGAUUUUUGCUCUAACUUAAUAGAAAUGACAGACUGGCAAAGCCAUAGUUAAAUCAGCUGGAGGAGCCACAAAUCAAAUCAUCUUUACAGAAAGAUGUGAGUGCACAUGGAAAUUUAUGGAGUCUCUCAGCAUUGUAGAAGAGCCUCUGUUUCUUCUCACUGGUUCCUGUCCUCCUCAGCUUGGUAUAUAACUCCUGAGGGCUGAAUACCUGGUUGCUGAAGGAUCCAGUCCCUGCCCUAUAACCGAGGAAGAAUUUCUACUUCCCCUUCCUGUCCAGAAGUGAUAUUCCCAGAUGAAGUGAGAAAUUAUAUGCUCUCUGGGAAAUGGCUAUCUGCAAAGACUUGUGGCAUUCUACUUUCUGGAUAUAUUGCCUUAUGUCUGGCAAACUGUACUGAUUAAAACUUUGAACAGAAGAAGGAAAAACUAAUUUGGAAGGGCUAAUCAAGACUCUCCAUAGUCCAAAAGGGAUGAUUUCUCAGUUGUGCAGAGAACCAAUAAACCUCCAUCCUGAGGACAAAAGUAAUUUUGUGAAACUGCAUGAAGUUUCUCUAGAGAGAGAGACUUCACAAAGCCCAGUGGUCACAGCUGUGCAGUGGAACCGAACUACUUUGAAUCUCUGCCAUCAAAGGAAAGAAUCUCAGGAUUUUCUGCUACAGAAGCAUGAUCGUGUUUAAAUUCUUAAAAUGCUGCAUUAGCAAGAAUUCUCCACAGAAACAGACUCUCUCUCUAGAGUUGAGAGAGAGAGAGAGUUAAUAUAGGAAUUGGCUCAUGGGACAAUGGAGGCCAAGAAGUUCCAGAAUCUGAUGUCUGCAAGCCAGCAAACAAAGCCAAUAAUGUAAUUUAGUCUGAGUUCAAAGGCCCAAGAAUGGAGGUACUGAUGGUAUAAUUCCUGAUCUGAGUCUAAAGGCCCAAGAACCAGGAACACUCAUGUUAACAGAAAAUGAAUAGGCCAGGUGCAGUGGCUCACACCUGUAAUCCCAGCACUUUGGGUGGCUGAGGCCGGCAGAUCCAUCGAGGUCAGGAGUUUGAGACCAGCCUGACCAACAUGGUGAAACCCUGUCUCUACUAAAAAUACAAAAAUUAGC
rnacentral:lncRNA from 1 species